rnacentral:misc_RNA from 1 species
UGGGGAGGUUGGUGAGACGCUG